GAACGCUGGCGGCGUGCUUAACACAUGCAAGUCGAGCGGAAAGGCCCUUCGGGGUACUCGAGCGGCGAACGGGUGAGUAACACGUGAGUAACCUGCCCCAGGCUUUGGGAUAACCCUCGGAAACGGGGGCUAAUACCGAAUAUUCAUGCCGUGUGGCAUCACAUGGUGUGGAAAGUUUUUCGGCUUGGGAUGGGCUCGCGGCCUAUCAGCUUGUUGGUGGGGUGAUGGCCUACCAAGGCGACGACGGGUAGCCGGCCUGAGAGGGCGACCGGCCACACUGGGACUGAGACACGGCCCAGACUCCUACGGGAGGCAGCAGUGGGGAAUAUUGCACAAUGGGCGGAAGCCUGAUGCAGCGACGCCGCGUGAGGGAUGAAGGCCUUCGGGUUGUAAACCUCUUUCGACAGGGACGAAGCGCGAGUGACGGUACCUGGAGAAGAAGCGCCGGCCAACUACGUGCCAGCAGCCGCGGUAAGACGUAGGGCGCGAGCGUUGUCCGGAUUUAUUGGGCGUAAAGAGCUCGUAGGCGG
rnacentral:rRNA from 1 species